UCCCAUCAGUCUUGUCCCCGCCGCCAGCCAUCCACCCACUCGCCUCCCACCUUGGGAUCCUCCCAGAUCCAUCCCGGGCCAACCACCGUCUCCCCUCGAUCCAUCCACCCAACCACACCGCAGCCAGCCGCCUUGCGGCGCCCUCUCCCUCGAGCUCCAACGGGAACCGCGCCACCAGGACCCCGCGGCCUCAAGCCCCUCGCGCCCGGAGCUCUCCUAGCUGUGCGCCUCCGCACGUUCUUCCCGAAGACCAGCAGCGCUCGCCGACCUCCUUGCUUGUUUUGGUUUGGGAGAGGAGCUCCCGACCGUGCCUCCCGCUGGCGAGAGCCCACUGGAUCCAGCCGCCUACCGUCUCCGGCAAACCUAGCAGAUGAGGAAACGAACGGGGCUCGCCCCUGCUGCCAUGGCCACCGGCGACCGGAGCCGCCGUGUGUGUCCUUCCCGUCCCUGCCAUCCUUGCCGCCGGAUCGGGCCGGCUCUGCCCGGCUCCUCUCGCCUCGACUGCCCGUGCUCGCCUCCCGCCGUGGGGCCUCGUCUCUGCUUCGGUCAGACGAACGAAGCUGUCGCCGCCCGCUUCGUCAGUUUCAGGAUGCGAGCGCUGCUCGCAUUGACCGCCCCCUGAACCGCCUGAGAUCGACCUCCAGGCCAGUCCCUCGCGCGCCGUCCUUCUCCUCCCUCCUUCCUUCUUUUCUUCUCUGCGUCCUCAACUCCCUCUCGACUCUCUCUGUACAGGAAACCACCAUGCGCCGCCUCUUUCAGCUCCGCCCGCGCGCCGCCCUCGCCGGAGUACGCGCCAAGUUCAUCGUCGUCGCGCCGAGUCCGUCGCCAGCCGCCGCCGUUGCCUCUGUUUCCCGCCCCCGUGCUGCCGCUGUCGCGCCCUGCUUCGUCUGAAGCUCCAGCGCCAAGUCCCCUCUUCUACAUCGAGUUGCUCUGCCCCGAGCGCUCGCGUUGACCGCGCCUCCAGCGCCUGGGCCAGCGGCCUCCAAUUCCCAGCGCGCCUCCAGCCUAGCGCCAGGCCUUCUCCGCUUCUGGCCCAUUGGCCCAUGUCAUGCCUCGACACGUGGGAGAUAUAGCCGCAUCGUGGGCGUUACAGGAGGAGACCCGUCAAGGGGAGACCCGUUGCCGCGAGGAGGCCGAGAAUACGACCGAGGCCAAGGACGUCGAGCUGAAGGCGGCCCUUUCCAAGGUCGCCGAUCUGGAGAAGGCACUGCAGGAGCGUGACCGCACCAUCGCCUGGGAGCGGCGUGGUACGUUUCUCAAAGCGCAGCACCUGGAAUAGUCCUUCUCCAGGGCCUUCCCGGAGACGCGCUAGCUGGCGGAGGAGGCCGUCUGCUUUCAGCGCGACCCGCAGGGAGUCAUCGGCUCCGGGACCGACCCGCAAGUGGCCUGGGCAUUCCCGGAGAUCGUGACCGCCGCCGAGGCUCGUUUGCGCAUCAUGGGCGACCAGAUGGGGCGGCUUUCUCAGGCCGGCGCGAUGAUGACGGCGGCCCUCUGGCCGGGCUCCGUUGCACCGAGCAGCUUCACACGGCUGGCGUGGUGGCUGGGGGCGGGUCCGAACCGUCUCCACGACUAGCGCGUUUCCGCCCCGCUCGUGCCGGUGCCGAGAUGGCGCUCCGGUUCACGAUGUCUUGGCAUCCGGACCUGUCGCUGGAUGCAUUGAUGUGCCAGCGAGCCGGCUCGGAGAACUAGCUGCAGGUGGAGGCCGGACGGAUCGCUGCCCGGGCCAGCUACAUCGUCGGGUUAGCCUUCCAUGACGAGUUUCGGCCGGAGCGGUGGAGGACGGAAGAGUCAUGCCUGCUGAUGACUAAGGCCUACUUCUAGACGACCCAGAGGGCAGCUCCGAGGAGACGAACAUCUACGGCGACGCGGACACCGAGGAGGGAGACACCGGCACCUCGGCGAACCCGAAGGCCAUCGAGGGAGAUGCCUGAGGCUGCCUGUUUUUAACUUAGUAAAAUUUUCUGUUAGGUAGCAGGUCCACCCACCCACUGGGGGUAUCCAGGUGUAAUGAACUCUGGCCUUGGGCCUGUCCUUCGAAUUAUGCUGUAUAAGUUCUGUGAA